AUUGAACGCUGGCGGCAGGCCUAACACAUGCAAGUCGAACGAGUGGCGGACGGGUGAGUAAUGUCUGGGAAACUGCUUGAUGGAGGGGGAUAAUUACUGGAAACGGUAGCUAAUCCCGAAUACUAUCCGAUGUACCUAGACGUGAUUAGAUAGUAGGUGGGGUAAAGGCUCACAAUGGCGACGAUCCCUAGCUGGUGUGAGAGGAGUACCAGCCAAAUGGGAACUGGAACACGGGCCAGACUCCAACGGUAGGCAGCAGAGGGGAAUAUUGCACAAUGGGGGCGAUCCUGAUGCAGAAUGGCCGCGGGUAUGACGAAGGCCUUCGGAUUGUAAAGUACUUUCAGCGAGAAGGCGGUACCCGCAGAAUAAGCACCGGCUAACUCCGUGCCAGCAGCCGCGGUAAUAC
rnacentral:rRNA from 1 species